GUGGGGAAUAUUGGGCAAUGGGGGAAACCCUGACCCAGCAACGCCGCGUGAAGGAAGAAGGUCUUCGGAUCGUAAACUUCUAUCCUCGGUGAAGAGGAGAAGACGGUAGCCGAGAAGGAAGCCCCGGCUAACUACGUGCCAGCAGCCGCGGUAAUACGUAGGGGGCAAGCGUUGUCCGGAAUGAUUGGGCGUAAAGGGCGUGUAGGCGGCUAAGUAAGUCUGGAGUGAAAGUCCUGCUUUUAAGGUGGGAAUUGCUUUGGAUACUGCAUAGCUAGAGUGCAGGAGAGGUAAGUGGAAUUCCCAGUGUAGCGGUGAAAUGCGUAGAGAUUGGGAGGAACACCAGUGGCGAAGGCGACUUACUGGACUGUAACUGACGCUGAGGCGCGAAAGUGUGGGGAGCAAACAGGA
rnacentral:rRNA from 1 species